GAGAGUCGAGAGUGAGGGAGGGAUGGGAUUGCUAACAUAAGUCAGUCACUCUCUGUGUCCGAUAGCGAGCAGAUCUAUCGUGGACGCGCGCUCACAAUAUCUCCCAGAAUUAUCAGUAUUUGUGCUAUUUUUACUGCAAAAUGACGUACAAAACGAAGAUGAAGAAAACUCUGAAAGCUAAAAGCAUGCUAGCUGCCCGUAGAAGGUGCGAGCUGGCUAGAAUCCAUGGAUUACGCACUUUGACGAGUGAAGAUCGUGGAGGCCUCUCAGCCGCGAGUGUGAGGAACCAGCCCGCUACCCCCCCCCACCACAAUCCCACCCUCUGCCACCGCACAUUCUCCACCUUCUACUCCAGGGACUGGUACUUGAAGAAAAAGGACAAGGAUAUGCAGAAACCAACGAGACCCACAACCAAACCAAGAAAGGCCCCUGAGGGAGCUGACCCCGGCUAUGGCGCAGGUGCCUACUAGUGCCACUCCAGUGCCAUCUUCAGGACCCAUAUUUCUGACCAAUUAUAUUAGGCGAUCUGCAUGGAACUUGCACACCUUACUGAACCCAUGCCUAUCUACAAGGGUGCAAAUUUUGAAUGAUAUCGGUCAACAUCAAUCUCAGCUAAAGGUGGCUGAACUUUAACCUCCGUUUGUGCAGGCUGCGAUGCUGAAACUUGGCCCAGUUGCAGCACCUUUCACAUGUAUCAGGAUAAUAAAUUUUCAAUGCCCUACAACAACUUUCAAUUUCCAUCUAGAUGCCCCCUUAAUA